rnacentral:rRNA from 1 species
AUUGAACGCUGGCGGCAUGCCUUACACAUGCAAGUCGAACGGCAGCACGGGUGCUAGCACCUGGUGGCGAGUGGCGAACGGGUGAGUAAUACAUCGGAACGUACCUUAUCGUGGGGGAUAACGCAGCGAAAGCUGUGCUAAUACCGCAUACGCACUGAGGGGGAAAGCGGGGGAGCGAAAGACCUCGCGCGAUUAGAGCGGCCGAUGCCUGAUUAGCUUGUCGGUGGGGUAAAAGCCCACCAAGGCGACGAUCAGUAGCUGGUCUGAGAGGACGAUCAGCCACACUGGGACUGAGACACGGCCCAGACUCCUACGGGAGGCAGCAGUGGGGAAUUUUGGACAAUGGGGGCAACCCUGAUCCAGCAAUGCCGCGUGAGUGAAGAAGGCCUUCGGGUUGUAAAGCUCUUUUGUCAGGGAAGAAACACCGGCUCUAACACAGUCCGGGAAUGACGGUACCUGAAGAAUAAGCACCGGCUAACUACGUGCCAGCAGCCGCCGUAA